rnacentral:rRNA from 1 species
CAAUAGCGUAUAUUAAAGUUGUUGCAGUUAAAAAGCUCGUAGUUGGAUUUCUGUUCUUGGGAUCUGGUCCGCCUCACGGUGAGCACUGGAUAACUGGGGACAUCCUCUCGAAGGCGGCAGGUGCACUUGAUUGUGUGUUUGUUGAAUUCGGGACCUUUACUUUGAAAAAAUUAGAGUGUUCAAAGCAGGCGUCGGCUUGAAUACAUUAGCAUGGAAUAAUGGAAUAGGGCUUUGGUUCUAUUUUGUUGGUUUCUAGGACCGAAGUAAUGAUUAAUAGGGACAGUUGGGGGCAUUAGUAUUUAAUUGUCAGAGGUGAAAUUCUUGGAUUUAUGAAAGACUAACUACUGCGAAAGCAUUUGCCAAGGAUGUUUUCAUUAA